ensembl:lncRNA
GAGAGGGAGACGCGGAGCGAGUCGGGACAGAGUGCGGCCCGGCGGCGGAUGGCGGCGUGGCGGAGCGGCCGAGCGGGCAGGCGCUGCACCCGGAACCACUCGCCCUCCGGGACAGUUUCCGGGUGAACCCCCCUCCCCAGGCCGCGGGAGGGGUUGCGGACGUGGUGUGCGGGGCCGUCGUGGCGCGCCCCCCGCCGGCGGGAGGGCCGGGUGCGGUGCCGCGUGUCCGAUGGGUGUAAGCGACCGAGUCUUUGAUCCCGAGAGGCAGGAUCUGGAGCUGGAGCAGGGCGAGCACAAGUGGGAGAUACACGCAGUGCUCUCUCUGCGCUGCAGACUCGAAUCAGAAGGGUUCUGCUUCACAGGUCGUGAAAGAUUCGUUGCUGCAGAGAUCAAAACUCAUCACUGUGCUCAUACUGAGUGCGGGGAUGUCGGCAUUAAGUUCUCCUCCAGUAAAUACUCAGUUAUCUUUACAAAGCAGAGCAGAUUCCAAAGGGGAAACAAAGGACACAGCAUGUAAAAUAUCAACUGAAUGAAGAAGAAAGAAGGCAAACUGCUUCCAAGGAGCUCUCGAGCCCAACUGUAUUGGCUUUGGUGACUAAGGACCACCAAGUAGUGCAGCCAUUGUCCCUGACUAUGUAACAUCAGCUCCACAGUGGUGUGUGCUCUCCGUUCAUCUGGGAUAUAUUUCUUAAGGACUUAAUUGCUUUGUAUAUGUAGUGAUAAUGAUUUAAGAACAUUAGCAACCUGAAGUGUUUACAAACAACAGUACUUCUUUUAAAGCUUGGAACGGGCUUGAUUUGCUAAUUUCCUAAACAUGCCAAUCAUGGUGAUGUCCAAUUCUAUAAAUCAUAUAUGAAAUUCUAUAUCAAUUUGUAAUACUAAGGAUCUGAGUCUUUGUACUUGUUGAUUUCAUUAUAAUUUUUCAUGAGUUAGCCAGCUAAUGAUUGGUAAUCUUUACAAGGAAUAAAAAAAUUAGGUUGCUGGUUUUCCAGGUUGCUGGUGCUGCUGUUACUGUUGCUAAAUUCUUCCCAGUUUCUGUUGUUCUGUCUCCGUGUGUGACCAUCCUGUUUGUGAAAUAAUAAAAUUUCACAUGUUGUCUUUGUUGUCUUACUGCACAAAUAAUAUCUAAAUGUUAGACCUAAAAUAAAUGCAAUAAAUAUAUUUUAGAGGAAGUCAUAUGAAGAGUUUUUCUUUCCUACUGGACAAUCUAAUUAGGGUUAAGACUCAGUUUCAGCACAGGUCUUUCUUGAGAAAAAGCCUACACGCACAGCAUGCAUUGCUUUAUAUUGUUACUCAGACUCACCCAGCAUGGUCAAGCUUCACCAUUUCAAGUACCUCAGCUUUGAAAGUCUUUGCUUUAGGCUUGCUUUGACAGGUUUUACAUAAAUAAUAGACUUUGAUAUCCAGAUAUUAAUUCCUGCUUACUUUCUGUUACAGUGCUCAGUUUAAUAGAUUAAAAUAAGCCAGUCAUGUUAUAAUACAAAUUAAUCUUAAUUUCCACUGUCCUUCAUACAUGAAGAAGCAGCCCUGAACAACUUUGGCACCUGCAGAACACUUGAAGCGCAUUCAAGUAUACUAACCACUAACUAAUGUUUUCAUCCCAGUUCAGUGUGAUUUGUGCAAAGUCAUGGUGUGAAGGAAAAAAUCACCAGAC